CCUACGGGUGGCUGCAGUGAGGAAUAUUGGUCAAUGGACGAGAGUCUGAACCAGCCAAGUAGCGUGAAGGAUGACUGCCCUCUGGUUUGUAAACUUCUUUUAUAUGGGAGUAAGACAGGGUAUGCAUACCCUCUUGUAUGUACCAUAUGAAUAAGGAUCGCCUAACUCCGUGCCAGCAGCCGCGGUAAGACGGAGGCUCCGAUCGUUAUCCGGAUUUAUUGGGUUUAACGGGAGCGUAGGUGGAUUGUUAAGUCAGUUGUGAAAGUCUGGGGCUCAACGGUAAAAUUGUAGUUGAAACUGGCAGUCUUGAGUACAGUAGAGGUUGGCGGAAUUCGUGGUGUAGCGGUGAAAUGCGUAGAUAUCACGAAGAACUCCGAUUGCGAAGGCAGCUAACUGGACUGCAACUGACACUGAUGCGCGAAAGUGUGGGUAGCAAACAGGAUUAGAUACCCUUGUAGUC
rnacentral:rRNA from 1 species